rnacentral:rRNA from 1 species
CCUACGGGAGGCUGCAGUGGGGAAUAUUGGACAAUGGGCGAAAGCCUGAUCCAGCCAUGCCGCGUGUGUGAAGAAGGCCUUCGGGUUGUAAAGCACUUUCAGUGGGGAAGAAAGCCUUGGGGCUAAUACCCUCGAGGAAGGACAUCACCCACAGAAAAAGCACCGGCUAACUCCGUGCCAGCAGCCGCGGUAAUACGGAGGGGUGCGAGCGUUAAUCGGAAUUACUGGGCGUAAAGCGCGCGUAGGCGGUCUGAUAAGCCGGUUGUGAAAGCCCCGGGCUCAACCUGGGAACGGCAUCCGGAACUGUCAGGCUAGAGUGCAGGAGAGGAAGGUAGAAUUCCCGGUGUAGCGGUGAAAUGCGUAGAGAUCGGGAGGAAUACCAGUGGCGAAGGCGGCCUUCUGGACUGACACUGACGCUGAGGUGCGAAAGCGUGGGUAGCAAACAGGAUUAGAUACCCCUGUAGUC